rnacentral:snoRNA from 1 species
UAAAAUGUGGGAGUUAACUAUUCCUUUAUUAGAGUGAUCGGUGAUGAAUCUUUUUCAUCAUCUUUCGGCUGAUAUUGAA